rnacentral:rRNA from 1 species
UGCGGAAGGAUCAUUAAUGAAUAAAUCUGAUGAGUUGUUGCUGGUUCUCUAGAGGGCAUGUGCACGCUUGUCAUCUUUAUAUCUCCACAUGUGCACUUUUUGUAGACCUGGAUAACCCUCUGAAUGCCAGUCACUCAGGUUUGGGGAUCGGCGUUAUGUCUCUCCUUACAUUUCCAGGCCUAUGUUUAUUCAUAUACCCAAUUCUAUGAUUUAGAAUGGCCUUUUGGCUUAUAAAUAAAAGCUUUACAACUUUCAGCAAUGGAUCUCUUGGCUCUCGCAUCGAUGAAGAACGCAGCGAAAUGCGAUAAGUAAUGUGAAUUGCAGAAUUCAGUGAAUCAUCGAAUUUUUGAACGCACCUUGCGCUCCUUGGUAUUCCGAGAAGCAUGCCUGUUUGAGUGUCAUUAAUAUAUCUCAACCUCUUCAUUUUUUUUUGUUGAGUGUUGGAUGUGGGGGGUUUAUUUUGCUGGUUUUUCUAAGGUCAGCUCCCCUGAAAUGUAUUAGCGGAACAAUUGUAGACCGUUCAUUGGUGUGAUACAACUAUCUACGCUAUUGACGCGAAGCAGUUCAGCUUCUAACAGUCUAUUAAUUUGGACAAGUUUUCAUUAAUGUGACCUCAAAUCAGGUAGGACUACCCGCUGAACUUAAGCAUAUCAAUAAGCGGAGGAAAAGAAACUAACAAGGAUUCCCCUAGUAACUGCGAGUGAAGCGGGAAAAGCUCAAAUUUAAAAUCUGUCAGUCUUUGACUGUCCGAGUUGUAAUCUAGAGAAGUGUUAUCCGCGCUGGACCGUGUACAAGUCUCCUGGAAUGGAGCGUCAUAGAGGGUGAGAAUCCCGUCUUUGACACGGACUGCCAGGGCUUUGUGAUGCACUCUCAAAGAGUCGAGUUGUUUGGGAAUGCAGCUCAAAAUGGGUGGUAAAUUCCAUCUAAAGCUAAAUAUUGGCGAGAGACCGAUAGCGAACAAGUACCGUGAGGGAAAGAUGAAAAGAACUUUGGAAAGAGAGUUAAACAGUACGUGAAAUUGCUGAAAGGGAAACGCUUGAAGUCAGUCGCGUUGUCCAGAGAUCAACCUUGCUUUUGCUUGGUGUACUUUCUGGUUAACGGGUCAGCAUCAAUUGUAACUAUUGGAAAAAGGUCGAAGGAAUGUGGCAUCUUUGGAUGUGUUAUAGCCUUGGAUUGCAUACAAUGGUUGGGAUUGAGGAACUCAGCACGCCGCAAGGCCGGGUUAUUAACCACGUACGUGCUUAGGAUGUUGGCAUAAUGGCUUUAAUCGACCCGUCUU